GGGGAAUAUUGGGCAAUGGGGGGAACCCUGACCCAGCAACGCCGCGUGAGUGAAGAAGGUCUUCGGAUCGUAAAGCUCUGUCAUUAGGGAAGAAGGAAGUGACGGUACCUAAUGAGGAAGCCCCGGCUAACUACGUGCCAGCAGCCGCGGUAAUACGUAGGGGGCGAGCGUUGUCCGGAAUUACUGGGCGUAAAGGGCGCGUAGGCGGUUAAUUAAGUCAGAUGUGAAACGCCUCGGCUUAACCGAGGACUGGCAUUUGAAACUGGUUAACUUGAGUGCAGGAGAGGAAAGCGGAAUUCCUAGUGUAGCGGUGAAAUGCGUAGAGAUUAGGAGGAACACCGGUGGCGAAGGCGGCUUUCUGGCCUGCAACUGACGCUGAGGCGCGAAAGCGUGGGGAGCGAACA
rnacentral:rRNA from 1 species